rnacentral:rRNA from 1 species
AAAUUGAAGAGUUUGAUCAUGGCUCAGAUUGAACGCUGGCGGCAGGCCUAACACAUGCAAGUCGAGCGGUAGCACAGAGAGCUUGCUCUCGGGUGACGAGCGGCGGACGGGUGAGUAAUGUCUGGGAAACUGCCUGAUGGAGGGGGAUAACUACUGGAAACGGUAGCUAAUACCGCAUAACGUCGCAAGACCAAAGUGGGGGACCUUCGGGCCUCAUGCCAUCAGAUGUGCCCAGAUGGGAUUAGCUAGUAGGUGGGGUAAUGGCUCACCUAGGCGACGAUCCCUAGCUGGUCUGAGAGGAUGACCAGCCACACUGGAACUGAGACACGGUCCAGACUCCUACGGGAGGCAGCAGUGGGGAAUAUUGCACAAUGGGCGCAAGCCUGAUGCAGCCAUGCCGCGUGUGUGAAGAAGGCCUUCGGGUUGUAAAGCACUUUCAGCGGGGAGGAAGGCGAUAAGGUUAAUAACCUUGUCGAUUGACGUUACCCGCAGAAGAAGCACCGGCUAACUCCGUGCCAGCAGCCGCGGUAAUACGGAGGGUGCAAGCGUUAAUCGGAAUUACUGGGCGUAAAGCGCACGCAGGCGGUCUGUCAAGUCGGAUGUGAAAUCCCCGGGCUCAACCUGGGAACUGCAUUCGAAACUGGCAGGCUAGAGUCUUGUAGAGGGGGGUAGAAUUCCAGGUGUAGCGGUGAAAUGCGUAGAGAUCUGGAGGAAUACCGGUGGCGAAGGCGGCCCCCUGGACAAAGACUGACGCUCAGGUGCGAAAGCGUGGGGAGCAAACAGGAUUAGAUACCCUGGUAGUCCACGCCGUAAACGAUGUCGAUUUGGAGGUUGUGCCCUUGAGGCGUGGCUUCCGGAGCUAACGCGUUAAAUCGACCGCCUGGGGAGUACGGCCGCAAGGUUAAAACUCAAAUGAAUUGACGGGGGCCCGCACAAGCGGUGGAGCAUGUGGUUUAAUUCGAUGCAACGCGAAGAACCUUACCUGGUCUUGACAUCCACAGAACUUUCCAGAGAUGGAUUGGUGCCUUCGGGAACUGUGAGACAGGUGCUGCAUGGCUGUCGUCAGCUCGUGUUGUGAAAUGUUGGGUUAAGUCCCGCAACGAGCGCAACCCUUAUCCUUUGUUGCCAGCGGUCCGGCCGGGAACUCAAAGGAGACUGCCAGUGAUAAACUGGAGGAAGGUGGGGAUGACGUCAAGUCAUCAUGGCCCUUACGACCAGGGCUACACACGUGCUACAAUGGCAUAUACAAAGAGAAGCGACCUCGCGAGAGCAAGCGGACCUCAUAAAGUAUGUCGUAGUCCGGAUUGGAGUCUGCAACUCGACUCCAUGAAGUCGGAAUCGCUAGUAAUCGUAGAUCAGAAUGCUACGGUGAAUACGUUCCCGGCCUUGUACACACCGCCCGUCACACCAUGGGAGUGGGUUGCAAAAGAAGUAGGUAGCUUAACCUUCGGGAGGGCGCUUACCACUUUGUGAUUCAUGACUGGGGUGAAGUCGUAACAAGGUAACCGUAGGGGAACCUGCGGUUGGAUCACCUCCUUACCUUAAAGAA